rnacentral:rRNA from 1 species
UACGUAGGGUGCGAGCGUUGUCCGGAAUUAUUGGGCGUAAAGGGGCUCGUAGGCGGUUUGUUGCGUCGGGAGUGAAAACUCAGGGCUUAACCCUGAGCCUGCUUCCGAUACGGGCAGACUAGAGGUAUGCAGGGGAGAACGGAAUUCCUGGUGUAGCGGUGAAAUGCGCAGAUAUCAGGAGGAACACCGGUGGCGAAGGCGGGUCUCUGGGCCGAUACUGACGCUGAGGAGCGAAAGCGUGGGGAGCGAACAGG